rnacentral:rRNA from 1 species
AAGUCCCGCAACGAGCGCAACCCUUUUCCUUACUUGCCAGCAUUUCGGAUGGGAACUUUAAGGAUACUGCCAGUGACAAACUGGAGGAAGGCGGGGACGACGUCAAGUCAUCAUGGCCCUUACGGCCAGGGCUACACACGUGCUACAAUGGUCGGUACAAAGGGUUGCUACACAGCGAUGUGAUGCUAAUCUCAAAAAGCCGAUCGUAGUCCGGAUUGGAGUCUGCAACUCGACUCCAUGAAGUCGGAAUCGCUAGUAAUCGCGGAUCAGAAUGCCGCGGUGAAUACGUUCCCGGGCCUU